CCAGGUCUUGACAUCCUGAAUCCACUUAAGAAAAUAGGGUUUCCUUUCGGGGCCAAGGACACAGGUGGCGCAUGGUUGUCGUCAGCUCGUGUCGUGAGAUGUUGGGUUAAGUCCCGCAACGAGCGCAACCCUUAUUGUCAGUUGCCAUCAUUAAGUUGGGCACUCUAGCGAGACUGCCGGUGACAAACCGGAGGAAGGUGGGGACGACGUCAAGUCAUCAUGCCCCUUAUGACCUGGGCUACACACGUGCUACAAUGGAGGGUACAACGAGUCGCAAGCCCGCGAUGUUUAGCUAAUCUCUUAAAGCCAUUCUCAGUUCGGAUUGUAGUCUGCAACUCGCCUACAUGAAGUCGGAAUCGCUAGUAAUCGCGAAUCACAAAGUCGCGGGGAAUACGUUCCCC
rnacentral:rRNA from 1 species